rnacentral:lncRNA from 1 species
CGGUGGUUAAAACACAGUAAUACGCGUUGUUGCACAGUAGCACACGAUAUUGCACCAAUUAUUGACUCUUACGUAAGAAGGCACUACUCAAUAAUGGUUACAGUAAUUACUGUUCAGUAUUUUAUUGGUUCAAUAAUUGUUGUGUUGAUAUUUUAUAUUGCUGUUGUUUCAAUAAUUGUCAUUACACAGUAUUUUUCAUUAUCGAAGCAAUAAUUCAUAUUAUCUGAAUAAUAUUAUUAGAUAACAUUAUUGGCAAUGUCUAGA